GGAUCUUUGGCCGAGUGGUUUAAGGCGUUCGACUCAAGAAAUUGUGCUAUCGAAUAUCGUAAGAUGCAGGAGUUCGAAUCUCCUAGGAUCCA
rnacentral:tRNA from 1 species